rnacentral:rRNA from 1 species
UACGGGGGGUGCAAGCGUUGUUCGGAAUUAUUGGGCGUAAAGCGCGUGUAGGCGGUCUGAUUAGUCUGAUGUGAAAGCCCUGGGCUCAACCCAGGAAGUGCAUUGGAUACUGUCAGACUUGAAUACGGGAGAGGGUAGUGGAAUUCCUAGUGUAGGAGUGAAAUCCGUAGAUAUUAGGAGGAACACCGGUGGCGAAGGCGGGUCUCUGGGCAACAACUGACGCUGAGGAGCGAAAGCGUGGGGAGCGAACAGG